UACAGAGGUGCCAAGCGUUGUUCGGAUUUAUUGGGCGUAAAGGGUGCGUAGGCGGUGAUGCUAGUCGGGUGUGAAAUACCGGAGCCUAACUCCGGAACGGCAUUCGAAACUGCAUUGCUCGAGGUCUGGAGAGGUGAUUGGAAUUCUCGGUGUAGCAGUGAAAUGCGUAGAUAUCGAGAGGAGCACCAGAGGCGAAGGCGAAUCACUAGACAGAACCUGACGCUGAGGCACGAAAGCUAGGGGAGCAAACGGG
rnacentral:rRNA from 1 species